rnacentral:rRNA from 1 species
AACGAACGCUGGCGGCAUGCCUAACACAUGCAAGUCGAACGAGACCUUCGGGUCUAGUGGCGCACGGGUGCGUAACGCGUGGGAACCUGCCUUUAGGUUCGGAAUAACUCAGAGAAAUUUGAGCUAAUACCGGAUGAUGUCUUCGGACCAAAGAUUUAUCGCCUUUAGAUGGGCCCGCGUUGGAUUAGCUAGUUGGUGGGGUAAAGGCCUACCAAGGCGACGAUCCAUAGCUGGUCUGAGAGGAUGAUCAGCCACACUGGGCUGAGACACGGCCCAGACUCCUACGGGAGGCAGCAGUGGGGAAUAUUGGACAAUGGGCGAAAGCCUGAUCCAGCAAUGCCGCGUGAGUGAUGAAGGCCUUAGGGUUGUAAAGCUCUUUUACCCGAGAUGAUAAUGACAGUAUCGGGAGAAUAAGCUCCGGCUAACUCCGUG